rnacentral:rRNA from 1 species
AUUGAACGCUGGCGGAAUGCUUUACACAUGCAAGUCGAACGGCAGCACGGGGCAACCUGGUGGCGAGUGGCGAACGGGUGAGUAAUAUAUCGGAACGUGCCCAAUCGUGGGGGGAUAACGUAGCGAAAGUUACGCUAAUACCGCAUACGAUCUACGGAUGAAAGCGGGGGAUCGCAAGACCUCGCGCGAAUGGAGCGGCCGAUAUCAGAUUAGGUAGUUGGUGGGGUAAAGGCUCACCAAGCCAACGAUCUGUAGCUGGUCUGAGAGGACGACCAGCCACACUGGAACUGAGACACGGUCCAGACUCCUACGGGAGGCAGCAGUGGGGAAUUUUGGACAAUGGGCGCAAGCCUGAUCCAGCCAUUCCGCGUGCAGGAUGAAGGCCUUCGGUU